UGGUCUGGACAAAUACACACGACAGCCGUAGACCCAUCACGGAAAGUGGAAGGUGCCUUCCGACGAGGUUUCUCUCUGUCCGACGAGUAUGCUGUUAGCAAUUUUAUUUAUCUCAUUUGCGCAGCCAAGUUCGUAACUCUCUGCAUCUGUCGUAGGGAGUUUUUAGCACUACCAGCUAGUUCCGGAACGCAACUAUACGAUUACCGCCACUAAACGGGACCAAAAUGGCAUAUCUCAGGUGGCGAACCGGGGUCGUAGUUUGGAGGAUGAUGUGCUCGCGGUAUUUCGAUUAUUUUAGUUCUUUCGACCACCACGAUCUCUGUAAUUAUCUAUGCGUAUGUUUUUGCUGUUAUCAGAAAAUGCUUUUAUUACUUCUAAAUAGCAACCGUGGUGGCGAACACUGGUGCAGAUGUGGCGAUUCGAGAUGUGACAGGUAUACAUGGUAUAAGAAUGCGCGAAGGGCCAGCCAUGUAUGUACUAGCGCAUACGACGCGAGGCGUGAAGGUCAGGCUCGUCGGACGGUCACGGCUGGAGAAAAUUAUGUUUAAAAUUGAAAUGACAAAAAACAAGGCAUAACAAUGACUUGGAAGAGAAUAUCGUUACUUCUGUGCGUGUUUGGAUUUUUGAAGGAAUUCAGACCGUCGGAACCGUUUGUAACUGAAUACCUAACCGGACCAUGGAAAAAUUUCACCGAAACGCAGGUUACCCAAGAAAUAUAUCCAGUUGGUACAUAUUCCUACAUGGCAACAUUAGUUGCUGUAUUUUUGGUAACAGAUUUGGUCCGUUACAAACCUGUCAUCAUACUAUGUGGCAUCACUGGAAGCUGUACAUACAUCACACUAAUUUUAGCCCAAAGUAUAUGGGAAAUGGAAAUUGUUCAAUUUUUGAUUGGUCUUUUCCUUGCGUCAGAGGUGGCAUAUUUCACAUACAUAUAUGCAAAGGUCAGCAAGCUGCACUAUCAAGAAGUUACCAGUUACACAAGAACAGCAAUUUUGCUAGGAAGGUUUACUGCAAGUGUGGCAUCACAGUUAACUGUAUCUCUCAAUGUCCUGAACUACCAUCAGCUCAAUUACCUCACAUUAUCAGCACUAAUACUCGCAACGAUAUGGGCAUUAUUUUUGCCGUCUGUGAGCCAAUCUAUUUAUUUUCAUCGGCCAAUGGAUGCUGUUUCCAAUGAAUCCUCAGCCUUUGAAAAUGAAGUUUCGAGAGUUGAACAUGCUAAAGGCAAGCGGUCUCAUUCUCAGCAAAAUCUGCAGUUUGAGGCCCUUAAUAAAAAUUCCAGCCUAACCAUCAAAGUUAAAAAUGCAUAUUAUCUUCUUUGGAAUGAUUUCUUAGCGGCAUAUUCAAAUUUUUAUGUACUUAAAUGGUCCAUAUGGUGGUCAUUUGCUACAUGCGGCUACACCCAAGUAAUUAACUAUGUACAGUUGCUGUGGCAAGAUUCAUUGGAAGGAGAAGAUAUUGUCUAUAAUGCCGGUGUUGAGGCAGUUUAUACAAUCUUGGGUGCACUAACAGCAUUUGGUGUGGGAAAGUUGAGACUCAACUGGCCUGCAAUAGGAGAGGCAACAUUGUCGAUAUUUGCAUUAUUGCAAGGUUCUUCACUAAUCGUUGCAUCUCAAACGUACAAUAUAUGGCUUUCAUAUACAAUCUAUGUUAUCUUUGGACUAUUGUACCAGGCAAUGAUCACUAUCGCAAGCUCGGAAGUUGCUAAAAAUUUGUCAGAGGACAGCUAUGGGUUGAUAUUUGGGGUAAAUACGUUGAUAGCAUUGCUUUUGCAAAGUCUGCUCACAUUCGUUGUCACUGGCAAGAAUGUUCUUGCUUUACCCAUUAGGGCACAGUAUCUCGUCUACGGUGGUUUUUUUAUUGCUCUGGGUGUAGUAUUUUUUAUGAUAGCAGUAUUUACGACAGUUGUACGGUGUAAAAAUGGUAAACGUUUUUUACUAUGGCAACCUAGUGAGACUAGUAAUUCUUCCUAAUAGCAUAUUGUACUGGUGAUAGAUAUUAUGACACAAUGGUACAAAUUAGCAUUCAUUCGUGAAUUGUGAUUAAUAUAUACAAUGUCAAUCACGAGCAAGUGAGACAAACUGACUAAAAAAUCGUAUUACAUUCUGUCGAAGAAUCGAAAGUAUACCAUAGAAAAAAAUCAUAGUAAUAUUUAAGGUUUCUAGUGCGUUAGUUGGAAAAUAUUUUAAGGUACCCUUCGUGAUUUUUAAUUGGGAAAAAAUAAGUCAUAUUUAUGUCGGUGAAAUUUGUAUAGCUUAUAUAUUUAUCGUUACUCCACUUUGACAGACUCAAGGUAUCUCAAAAAUGGCCGUAGAAGUAAUAUUAAAGUCCCGAAAGUUUAUUUACGCAAAUAGUCAAAUCACAGAACACUAUUUCCUGGACCAACUAGAGUCCCGUAUUCCCACUCUUCCAUUUCAUGAGUAUUAUAACUUCCUCAACGCGAAAAACCCAACAACGUAGUUUUCACCUCAUGUGUAUGUAUGGUUUUGGAUAGCAUCAAGUUCGAGAUAACGAGAACUGGAGCUUCGAUUGGUCGGAAAAUCUUGUUUGACGAUUUGGCAAAAAAGCGAACUAUCUGAUUAUUUAUUUCUAUAAGAUAUGUUUUUCUUUAAAAGUUCAAAGUUAAUAACCAAUUCAUUCCACGCUGAAUACGUGCAUCUUGUGCAAUAUCGUUUUUAUAUAAAUGUAAGAUAGAGAUUUAUUCAUAUAUACAUAUAACUACAUGUCUGAAAUGUAAAAAAUACAGGGAAAAAAAAUUGUAAAUAGAAUAAGUGACAGUGGCCAUUUGAAAUCGUUUACUUUUUCUGGCACUUGACUUAUUCACAUAUUUGGUCACAUGCGAAUUGUGCAGAAGACAGUAUUGCCUCACUUUUAAAUAGAGAAAGUAGCAAGUUACUGUAUGACAAUAGGCGCAGUGCGUUUUCUUACAAUAAGAAUUAGUAAUUAGUCUUUUUUUGUUUUUGGAAAAUUUUGUAGAAUAUACAUUUUAACAUUUUA
rnacentral:misc_RNA from 1 species